GCGAGCGAGCGCAACCUCGCGCUUCCACAAGGUCGCCAACCCGAGGAAAGCAGACACGGGGUUCCUGAACCCUGCCGGCACGCCCAGCCGUGGGGCGAGGGACCCCUGCGCAGCAUUCCAUGCCGCUCCAGGCCCCCACCCGGAGGAGCCGGCCGCGCGGGUGCCUGAGCAGCUCCGCCUUCGCGAGAGAACAUUACUGACGCGCUGGCCCGCAGCUUGAGCCAAAAAAGGAGUCCAUCCCCCCGCCCCCCCCACCCCCGAUCAGCCGCCUCAGUCGAGGGGCGAUCCCCUCCUUUCCCUCACCGCUCUUUCCAGGACUCUGGAAUGACCAGCCUCAAGCGGACUCUACACUUGGCCACCCUGAGUGUUGCGGGCCGCCUAACAGCCAAUUGGGUGCGGGGUACAUGGGAGAGGGGAGUGAGACCAGGGGAAAUAUCCGGCCGAGCAAGUCACCCCACUACCCAAUUCCACGCCACUCCAUCUGUCGUCCAAGCGCCUACGCAGGAGCUUUGCGCCAAAUCCUCUUGGGCCGAGGGCCUGCUGGGAUCCGAAAGGCAGGGGAAAGUUUGCAGAGAUUUUAAUGUGAUUCCUAGGAGCGCCUGCUUAAGGUAUCGAGGUGCUACCCACGGCUCCCCUACUGUGCCUCCCAGACGGUCGUGGCCCACCUGGCGGACCCUGCCCAGGUCCCAGAGCCUUUGGACCCCAAGCUCUCGGGGUCUCGUCCCCAGAGCCACCGGGAGCCUCCGGAACAGAGUUCAUCAAGAAGCCUCUAGUCCCCUGUAAAGCACCCCUGAGCGGUUCCAAGGGAAAGGGAACCAUAGUACCCCAGGAGGUGCCUCUCCACAAUCUUCUGCGCAGAUCUGUGGUCUCUUGCCUCCAGAAGCAAAGUCAGCAGAACCUUUAGACUUGACUUUCUUGUUGUGGUGGAGAGGAAGUAGGAGGCUAUUGGAGGUGCUGGAGCAGCACCCCCAAGACGAUCUGGCUUCUGAGCGGAGACCUGUGCACCCAGGUACCCGGGUGCAGGCGGAGACGCCGUGCGCCUUAGGAGAAAAGGGCAGCCGCGUCCUGGCCAGCACUCUUGGCAGCUGUCGCCGAGGCCCGCGGGAUUUUGUGGGGGCGCGGAGCUCGGCCUAGCCUAAGGCCACCGGCUACUGCCCUCCCGCUUCCCAACAGCAGACUUGGAAGGGGGGGCGCUGCACACAGCAACCGACGCGGGGCGCAAAUUCUGUGCGCCUGGUGGGAGACGCGGAGGGGAGGGGGCGGACGGGGUUGUGUUUUUCCUUUUCCGAACCUUUCCACUUCCCCGCGAAGUUUCCUGAUAGGCACCUCCACGCUGUGGUCCCAGCCUUGCACCGCCCCCGCGAGCCCAGCCAGCCUGAGCCUCCGACUGGACCUGGCCGCCCACUCGAAUCCUCCCCCCGCCCCCGUGGGGACCCGGUGUUGCCUGGAGCGCCGCGGCGCCCUGCCCACUCCCUUCCCGGGCUCCGCGGGGUUGCCUCUCCCCGGGGCGAAACUCGCCGACAGGGCGCACUGCAAGGAGACACCCGCUGCCUCCCGAGAACUCCUAAUACCAUCCAUACAGCUUUAAUGCGUUUAUAAUUCGAUAAGUGAUUUCAAUUUGAAAUUGUUAGUAACUAAUUUUAUGGGUAAUUUUUCCACAUCAAAUAUUUAAGCAUCAGAUUAAGGGAGCCAGUUCCGACACAGGAUAAUAAGGGGGUUUUCCCCCCACCCUCCGCGCCUCCGCCUCCCUCCGUCUCCUACCGAGUCGUUUUUCCAAAUCCCCAAAAGGUGGCAGUCGAAGCCGACGUUCUUCUUUUCCUGCGGCUCUGCAAGGGGAGGAGGAGAGGGGGGAAGAGCAGGGGGUAGAAGGAGAGAAAGGAGGAAAAGGAGGGAGCGAGCGAGAGGAGAGGGAGAAACUAGACGUUGCAGGGACUUCUCAGACUAAUACUUUCACACGUUUCUAAUACAAGCCAGAAGCAGUGGUGAAUUUCCUGGAAAUGUCCUGGCAGAAAAGAAAGUCAAAAAACGUGCCUGUGGGCUCAGAAGAUGUGAGAAACUCGGCACUUUGAAAGUAAACUCUCAAUUCAGAGCAGAAGAGGGAGAGGGGAGACCGGGAGACAGACUGGCUUUUUAAUAUUUCCUUGUAUUUUAACAUUAUAUACAAAUACUAAACAACAAGGCAACUUGUUUCUUCGAGAAUUGGCCUCUGCAGAUAACA